rnacentral:rRNA from 1 species
GAUGAACGCUGGCGGCGUGCCUAACACAUGCAAGUCGAGCGAACAGACGAGGAGCUUGCCCCUCUGACGUUAGCGGCGGACGGGUGAGUAACACGUGGAUAACCUACCUAUAAGACAGGGAUAACUUCGGGAAACCGGAGCUAAUACCGGACAAUAUAUUGAACCGCAUGGUUCAAUAGUGAAAGACGGUUUUGCUGUCCCUUAUAGAUGGAUCCGCGCGGCAUUAGUUAGUUGGUAAGGUAACGGCUUACCAAGGCAACGAUGGGUAGCCGACCUGAGAGAGGGAUAGGCAACACUGAACUGGAACAAGGUUCCGAAUUCCUAGGGGAGGCAGAGUGAGGAAAUCUUGAGAAAUGGGGGAAAGCCUGACGGAGCAAGGCGGGGGGGGUGAUGAAGGCCUGCGGAUGGUAAACCCCUGUUAUUGGGAAAGAGCAAAUGAGGAAGUAACCAUGCUCGUCUGAAGGGAACCGAAGAAGAAGGCCACGGCUACCUAGGG